rnacentral:rRNA from 1 species
CGACAGGCCUAACACAUGCAAGUCAGGGGCAGCACAAGGAGCAAUCUGAGUGGCGACCGGCGCACGGGUGAGUAACACGUAUGCAACCUGCCUGUAAGCGGGGAAUAACCCGUUGAAAGACGGACUAAUACCGCAUAAUACUAAAUUACUGCAAUGGUAAUUUAUUUAAAUAUUUUAUGGCUUACAGAUGGGCAUGCGCAUGAUUAGCUAGUUGGAGAGGUAACGGCUCCCCAAGGCAACGAUCAUUAGGGGUUCUGAGAGGAAGGUCCCCCACACUGGUACUGAGACACGGACCAGACUCCUACGGGAGGCAGCAGUGAGGAAUAUUGGUCAAUGGACGAGAGUCUGAACCAGCCAAGUCGCGUGCAGGAAGAAUGUCCCUAUGGAUUGUAAACUGCUUUUGCAGGGGAAUAAAGUGCAUCACGUGUGAUGUUUUGUAUGUACUCUGCGAAUAAGGAUCGGCUAACUCCGUGCCAGCCGCCGC